ACUCAUUCUUUGCUCUCCUGCUACCACGUGAAGAAGGAUGUAUUUGCUUCCCCUUCUGCCAUGUUUGUAAGUUUCCUGAGGCCUCCCCAGCCCUUCAGAACUGUGAGUCAAUUAAACCUCUUUCCUAUAUAAAUUACCCAGUCUCCGGUAUGUCUUUAUUAGCAGCACGAGAAUGAACUAAUACACUUCCCCACCACAAUAGUAGAAAGGGCUUAUGUCUACAGACAAGCUUAUUCUCUUUAUUUGUUGGAAACAUGACAAGUUCUGGCUUCUAUGACUCUUUUUCUAUAUACAUAUUUUUCAUAGAAAAUCAAAAUGAAAAGUAUUUUCAGAUUAGCAAAAAUAAUUUUUAAAGUUAGAAAUGUGAUUUCAAAACAAGAAAGUUGGUACACCCCACAGAGGCUGCUUAACUCAUGGAAGAUUAAGCAAAUCAUAUUCUGUGGGGGGAAAAAAACGAAAAAAAAAAAAAAGCCAACCUGACAAUUCCAAGGCAGUUCACCAGCAUUAUUUCAAAGGAAAAGCAAAGUUAAAAAAAUAAAGUAAAAUCAAGAUAAAGGGAGGAGAGAGGGAAAAUAUUGAAUCAUUCUUGUUUCCCUGUAAAUAGUUUAUCACUCUAUUUAUAAACAGACACAGAGAGCUUUUAGUGGAAUUGCCAGAUAUUAAUUUUUUCAAGAGAUUUAAUAUUAUUCUGGGAGGGAGUUAUAUCCAGUUGUAUGGUUCUAUUUUUUAUUUGCCCCUACUCCUAGAGCAUAGCCCCUUCAGGUUCUCAACAGGAAGCAUGGGACAUUCUUCUUUGGUUGGCCAUGAACUUAAAAUUCUGUUUUCCUGGUAACAUCUAAUUACAGUGUUCUCUGCUUAAAGGGUCAACCUUUUAGAAGCUGCUUUCUGCUUGCUUUGUCAGACUUUCUUACCACACUUAAACUAGCUAGGAGUUAACAAAUAUAUUGAGGGCAGAUUACAAACAGAAAAUCAGGCUCACUUCUCUGCAGUCCUCUUUUUUUCUGGGAUCUUGGUCCUUCAAGUCCUGAAUGGUUGUUUUGGGAACUCUGAACUCCAAUUUCUGUCUCCCCAGUCCAAAGAGAAAAGUGCUGCAAGUUCUAGGCUGCUGCUUCAUGCCCCCAUUCAGUGAAUCAGGAAAUAUUUUGAGAGGAGAAAUAAUGAUUGAUUUAACUUCAUAAAGCGUAAUAGCGUAUGCUUGCCAAAAACAUCAGAAACAAGUUAUGUCAGAAAUAGUGUCUCUACCUUAAAUUUUGUUCAUCCUUUCUAUAGUAUACAGUUGUAGAUGGAAGUAACAGCUCAGCUGAGGACUAAAUUUCCUUAUCCCAUUUGCCAUGAGAUGUGGCCAUAUGACUUGUUUUUGCCAAUGAAAUAUGAAUGAAAGUAAUUCAUGCCACCUUCUAGGUCAUGGCUUAUAAAAGGCUAGUAUGUCUCUUCCAUACUCCCUUCCUGCCCCUACCUGGGUGUGGACAAUGAUAAGGCCUGAGGGGAGAGUGAAGCCACAAGAUCAAAGGCAUCUGGGCCCUAAAACCUCUUCAUCAAAUCACGCUAUUAUAAAUGUCGUGCUCUUGUUGUUAUAAUAAUGUAC
rnacentral:lncRNA from 1 species